rnacentral:rRNA from 1 species
GAUGAACGCUGGCGGCGUGCCUAAUACAUGCAAGUCGAGCGAACAGACGAGGGGCUUGCUCCUCUGACGUUAGCGGCGGACGGGUGAGUAACACGUGGAUAACCUACCUAUAAGACUGGGAUAACUUCGGGAAACCGGAGCUAAUACCGGAUAAUAUAUUGAACCGCAUGGUUCAAUAGUGAAAGACGGUUUUGCUGUCACUUAUAGAUGGAUCCGCGCCGCAUUAGCUAGUUGGUAAGGUAACGGCUUACCAAGGCGACGAUGCGUAGCCGACCUGAGAGGGUGAUCGGCCACACUGGAGCUGAGACACGGUCCAGACUCCUACGGGAGGCAGCAGUAGGGAAUCUUCCGCAAUGGGCGAAAGCCUGACGGAGCAACGCCGCGUGAGUGAUGAAGGUCUUCGGAUCGUAAAACUCUGUUAUUAGGGAAGAACAAAUGUGUAAGUAACUAUGCACGUCUUGACGGUACCUAAUCAGAAAGCCACGGCUAACUACGUG